UCGGGUCUAGUGGCGCACGGGUGCGUAACGCGUGGGAAUCUGCCCUCUGGUACGGAAUAACUCAGGGAAACUUGAGCUAAUACCGUAUAAUGACUUCGGUCCAAAGAUUUAUCGCCUGAGGAUGAGCCCGCGUCGGAUUAGCUAGUUGGUGAGGUAAAAGCUCACCAAGGCGACGAUCCGUAGCUGGUCUGAGAGGAUGAUCAGCCACACUGGGACUGAGACACGGCCCAGACUCCUACGGGAGGCAGCAGUGGGGAAUAUUGGACAAUGGGCGAAAGCCUGAUCCAGCAAUGCCGCGUGAGUGAUGAAGGCCUUAGGGUUGUAAAGCUCUUUUACCCGGGAUGAUAAUGACAGUACCGGGAGAAUAAGCCCCGGCUAAC
rnacentral:rRNA from 1 species